UGCCAGCCGCCGCGGUAAGACGAACCGGACGAACGUUAUUCGGAAUCACUGGGCUUAAAGAGUACGUAGGCGGCCAGGUAGGUUGGGUGUGAAAUCCCGCAGCUCAACUGCGGAACUGCGCCCAAAACCACUUGGCUUGAGGGAAGCAGAGGUAAGCGGAACUGAUGGUGGAGCGGUGAAAUGCGUUGAUAUCAUCAGGAACACCAGUGGCGAAGGCGGCUUACUGGGCUUCUACUGACGCUGAGGUACGAAAGCUAGGGUAGCGAACGGGAUUAGAUA
rnacentral:rRNA from 1 species